GGAUGUGAAGGUGAUCUGGGUGUGGAAUCUGUCUCCCAUUCAUCAGCAAGGCUGAUUCCGCUGAUCUGGCUGGCUAGGCGGGUGUCCCCUUCUCUGUCAACACUUCCUGAUGUCCCUCCAGAAGCUGUGUGCAGUGGAAGAAGAUAACCACUCCUGAUAAAGGAGGACGAUUUCCUUAGUCAAGCAUAUACAAGUAGCUGUUCUCCCUUGCUAGAAUGUCCUAACAAAGUGGCUAUCAUAGAAUUAAUUUCUGGUAUUAGAAGUUACCAGGGGAGGAGGCACAGCAACGUGGCCUCUGAGGUCCUAGAACAGACCACAAGA
rnacentral:snRNA from 1 species